UGCAAGUCGAGGGGUAUAGUAGCAAUACUAGAGACCGGCGCACGGGUGCGUAACGCGUAUGCAAUCUACCUUUUACAGCGGGAUAGCCCAGAGAAAUUUGGAUUAAUACCUCAUAGUAUAGUUACUCGGCAUCGAGAUACUAUUAAAGUCACAACGGUAAAAGAUGAGCAUGCGUCCCAUUAGCUAGUUGGUAAGGUAACGGCUUACCAAGGCGACGAUGGGUAGGGGUCCUGAGAGGGAGAUCCCCCACACUGGUACUGAGACACGGACCAGACUCCUACGGGAGGCAGCAGUGAGGAAUAUUGGACAAUGGGCGCAAGCCUGAUCCAGCCAUGCCGCGUGCAGGAAGACGGUCCUAUGGAUUGUAAACUGCUUUUAUACGGGAAGAAACACCGGUUCGUGAACCGGCUUGACGGUACCGUAAGAAUAAGGAUCGGCUAACUCCGUGCCAGCAGCCGCGGUAAUACGGAGGAUCCAAGCGUUAUCCGGAAUCAUUGGGUUUAAAGGGUCCGUAGGCGGUCAGAUAAGUCAGUGGUGAAAUCCCAUCGCUCAACGGUGGAACGGCCAUUGAUACUGUCUGACUUGAAUUAUUAGGAAGUAACUAGAAUAUGUAGUGUAGCGGUGAAAUGCUUAGAGAUUACAUGGAAUACCAAUUGCGAAGGCAGGUUACUACUAAUGGAUUGACGCUGAUGGACGAAAGCGUGGGUAGCGAACAGGAUUAGAUACCCUGGUAGUCCACGCCGUAAACGAUGGAUACUAGCUGUUGGGCGCAAGUUCAGUGGCUAAGCGAAAGUGAUAAGUAUCCCACCUGGGGAGUACGUUCGCAAGAAUGAAACUCAAAGGAAUUGACGGGGGCCCGCACAAGCGGUGGAGCAUGUGGUUU
rnacentral:rRNA from 1 species